rnacentral:rRNA from 1 species
UCAGGAUGAACGCUAGCUACAGGCUUAACACAUGCAAGUCGAGGGGCAGCAUUUCAGUUUGCUUGCAAACUGGAGAUGGCGACCGGCGCACGGGUGAGUAACACGUAUCCAACCUGCCGAUAACUCGGGGAUAGCCUUUCGAAAGAAAGAUUAAUACCCGAUGGUAUAAUCAGACCGCAUGGUCUUGUUAUUAAAGAAUUUCGGUUAUCGAUGGGGAUGCGUUCCAUUAGGCAGUUGGUGAGGUAACGGCUCACCAAACCUUCGAUGGAUAGGGGUUCUGAGAGGAAGGUCCCCCACAUUGGAACUGAGACACGGUCCAAACUCCUACGGGAGGCAGCAGUGAGGAAUAUUGGUCAAUGGGCGCAGGCCUGAACCAGCCAAGUAGCGUGAAGGAUGACUGCCCUAUGGGUUGUAAACUUCUUUUAUAUGGGAAUAAAGUUUUCCACGUGUGGAAUUUUGUAUGUACCAUAUGAAUAAGGAUCGGCUAACUCCGUGCCAGCAGCCGCGGUAAUACGGAGGAUCCGAGCGUUAUCCGGAUUUAUUGGGUUUAAAGGGAGCGUAGGUGGACAGUUAAGUCAGUUGUGAAAGUUUGCGGCUCAACCGUAAAAUUGCAGUUGAUACUGGCUGUCUUGAGUACAGUAGAGGUGGGCGGAAUUCGUGGUGUAGCGGUGAAAUGCUUAGAUAUCACGAAGAACUCCGAUUGCGAAGGCAGCUCACUGGACUGCAACUGACACUGAUGCUCGAAAGUGUGGGUAUCAAACAGGAUUAGAUACCCUGGUAGUCCACACAGUAAACGAUGAAUACUCGCUGUUUGCGAUAUACAGUAAGCGGCCAAGCGAAAGCAUUAAGUAUUCCACCUGGGGAGUACGCCGGCAACGGUGAAACUCAAAGGAAUUGACGGGGGCCCGCACAAGCGGAGGAACAUGUGGUUUAAUUCGAUGAUACGCGAGGAACCUUACCCGGGCUUAAAUUGCAUUUGAAUAUAUUGGAAACAGUAUAGCCGUAAGGCAAAUGUGAAGGUGCUGCAUGGUUGUCGUCAGCUCGUGCCGUGAGGUGUCGGCUUAAGUGCCAUAACGAGCGCAACCCUUAUCUUUAGUUACUAACAGGUCAUGCUGAGGACUCUAGAGAGACUGCCGUCGUAAGAUGUGAGGAAGGUGGGGAUGACGUCAAAUCAGCACGGCCCUUACGUCCGGGGCUACACACGUGUUACAAUGGGGGGUACAGAAGGCAGCUACCUGGUGACAGGAUGCUAAUCCCAAAAGCCUCUCUCAGUUCGGAUCGAAGUCUGCAACCCGACUUCGUGAAGCUGGAUUCGCUAGUAAUCGCGCAUCAGCCAUGGCGCGGUGAAUACGUUCCCGGGCCUUGUACACACCGCCCGUCAAGCCAUGAAAGCCGGGGGUACCUGAAGUACGUAACCGCAAGGAGCGUCCUAGGGUAAAACUGGUAAUUGGGGCUAA